rnacentral:rRNA from 1 species
CGGCGAAGUUGCUUUCAAGUAUCUGCCCUAUCAACUUUCGUUGGCGGUGUAGCGGACCACCACGGUUGUAACGGGUAACGGAGGAUCAGGGUUUGACUCCGGAGAGGGAGCCUUAAAGACGGCUACCAUGUCUAAGGAUAGCAGCAGGCACGAAAAUUACCCAAUGCCAAUACGGUGAGGUAGUGACGAGAAAUAACGAGACUGUUCUCUCUGAGGUCGGUCAUCGGAAUGGAAAAAAUCCAGACACUUUAUUGAGUAUCUACGAGUGGGCAAGUCUGGUGCCAGCAGCCGCGGUAAUUCCAGCACUCGUAAGGUAUAGAAGUAUUGCUGCGUUUAAAAAGUUCGUAGUUGGAUUGUAUGGUGAGUGCGGGUCCGGCUUAACGGUCGGUACUCGUUGCUUGCUUUUUGUUCGUAUACGUCCGGUUGACUAACGUUGGCUGGUGCGUUGCGAAUAGGAUUACUUUGAACGGCUUAAGUGCUCAAAGCGAGGCUUAUGUCCGAAUACCGGUGCAUGGAAUAAUGGAACAAGGCUUCGGUCGAGUUUUUUUGGUUUUGGCGGCUAAGGCAAUGGUUAACAGGAACAGCCGGGGGCAUUCGUAUCGCGGCGCGAGAGGUGAAAUUCGUGGACCGUCGCGAGACGCACUAAAGCGAAAGCAUUUGCCAAGAGUGUUUUCAUUAAUCAAGAACGAAAGUCAGAGGUUCGAAGGCGAUUAGAUACCGCCCUAGUCUC